AAAGCCUGAGGCAAUGGUGACAUGCCUUGGGGUCAUCCAAAGUGGCUCAGGAUGGGGAUGGGGAGGAAGCAUGCAGGGCACACAGAAAAGUGCCAAGUGCCAAGAAUUUGCUCCUUUUCCUGAAGCAGGAGGAUCAGCCAUCAGAAGUUUAGGAAAUCCUGCCACAAAUGAAGAAACAUGUUCCAGACAAAACUUUCUUACAUCUGCAUUAUUGGAAUAAACAGUAAGGAAAAUGGACCGAAAAGAUGUGCCUAGUAUUUCCCUUCACCUUCCCAGAUGCAAAGCAAGGUGUUCAAAGAGGACAGAAUUUUUAGUGAAUUGGAUCCAAGAGCCAUUUCAUCAUGCUCAAAGCAGAUGUUAUCAGGAAGGAUCAUUUGUAUUGGCAGUCCUUCAAAAGGUUACCCUCUAACCAUGCUCAAAUCAGGUACUGAGGAAUCACAAGAGGUGUUUGUUGCCAGGGACCUCUGGAUGCUGUCAGGUCCAAAUCCUCUGCUCAGAGCAGCUGCAGCCAGGGCUGGUGCCCAGGGCUCUGCUUGGUCCAACUUUGGGUGGAUACUCCAAAAUCUCUCUGGGUAACCUGUUUCAGUAUUUCACUACACCCUAGUGAAAAAGUGUUUUCUUAUGUUUUAGAGGAAUUUCCUAUGUUUCAGGUUUUGUCCAUUUCCUCUGGUCUUGUCACUGCAGAGAAAAGUCUGGCUCAUUCUUCUUUCCUUCUCACCACAACUAUCAGGUAUUUAUCAAAAAUAAUACAAUGUCCAGUUAAUUAUUCCCUGUGACAUCAAAUUCCUUUCAGAACACACUUCUUUCCCUUUCAAUGACCACUGCCUGGCUUCUCCCAGUUUGGACAAAUUCAUUCCCAUUUGCAAAAGUACAUUAAUCAUUCAUCUUAUCAGCUUGUGCAGAUUGAAUUAUAGGAGUGGGUUUUCCUCUUUACGGUUUGCCAAUUUCCCAUUUUC
rnacentral:lncRNA from 1 species